rnacentral:rRNA from 1 species
AGGACGAACGCUGGCGGCGUGCCUAACACAUGCAAGUCGAACGAGGUCCAACCGGUAGCAAUACCGGUGAAGACCAAGUGGCGAACGGGUGAGUAGCACGUGAGCAACCUGCCCCGAAGACCGGGACAACACCGGGAAACCGGUGCUAAUACCGGAUAUCCCCACUGAGUCGCAUGGCUCGGUGAGGAAAUGGAUUCCGCUUCGGGAGGGGCUCGCGGCCUAUCAGCUUGUUGGUGAGGUAACGGCUCACCAAGGCUUCGACGGGUAGCUGGUCUGAGAGGACGAUCAGCCACACUGGGACUGAGACACGGCCCAGACUCCUACGGGAGGCAGCAGUGGGGAAUCUUGCACAAUGGGCGAAAGCCUGAUGCAGCAACGCCGCGUGAGGGACGAAGGCUUUCUGAGUUGUAAACCUCUUUCAGCAGGGACGAUUGUGACGGUACCUGCAGAAGAAGCCCCGGCAACUACGUGCCAGCAGCCGC